GAUUUUAUCGAUAGAGUAUAAACAAUCAUAGAUUAUUUAUAUAUGUAUCUCUGUGUUUAUGUCAUCUGUACCAAGAGACUACAGAUAAGAUUUAAUAUAGAUACCUAAUAAUAAAAUAGUUAUGUUACGGAUCAAUAGCUACAGAUCAAGUGCGAUCUUUAGGUUAAGCGUAUAGCAUGCGGAACACAUUUAAGAUGGGUGCCAUUUCUUGGCCCAAGCUAGAGAUUCCUAAUAAACCGAGCGUCUGAGGUUAGGGGUCGCCGGCAUCAGCCCUAUUGAUGAAUAGUGGUGACUCCGAAACGAAAUACAUUCCAUCUUUAUAACCUUAUAUUGUACAUAAAAUCAUCCGCUAUAGAAAUUUCACCUACUGACGAAUUGCAAAUUGUAUAUUAUCAGUUAUAUAUAGCUGUAUCUAUGUACAAAAAUGAAAAGUCCAAUGCAAGAGCAAAGGAAGCAGGUCCUUCUCUCAGUGACCACUAGGUUUUGUUUGUUCUGCGUGACAUUCUCAGUCAAUAGGUAUUAAGAAUGGAUUGGAAAUAACCAACCUGACCCACAUUCUUUUCGCGGAACUUCUCAUCUCUGCACGACACGUGUUAAUGCAAGUAUAAGUCAUCGUUUCGAAUCUUGAGAUUAUUGAGUUAUUACAGUUGAAUUCGCAUUAAAAGGAUCGGAUAUUUUAAUAAUAAUACUUCAUUGGAAAAAGAAUAUAUUUUAGUCAGGGAUAUUACAUACCAUAGAUGCAGUAUCCUAACAUCGAUUGAAAUUAACAUCAGAGGGCUAUACAGAAUUAAUUUGUAAAUUAACUAAAAAAGGACAUAUUUCAUCCGAAAUUGCUUUAUUCCUCGUAUGUUUUGUUUAUAAAAAUUUAUUCAGAAUCUGUUUCAAGCAAACUGAUUAAGAUUCAAUGCUUUAUCAUUGUUUAUCACAUGAACAGUUUGCAAUAUUAAAAACAUGGUGAUGUUUGAGGUGGUAUGGCAUUUUGUCAUAUUAUUAUAGGCAGAUGAUGAAAUCUAGAUGUGAUACUUUGAUAUUCCCAUGGAAUGACAUAGGUGCAUUACCACAUUGGAAACAAAAUUUUGAAAAUUGUCAAAAGUAUAGGAUUUACCUCUGCCAGAAGAUUAUUUAAUCAAAAAAGCUAUUGCUAUUAAAAAACAUCUGGAAAGGAAUCAAAGAUAAGGACAGCAAGUUCUGAUUGAUUCUAAUGGGGUCUGGAAUUCAUUGACUUGCAUAUUUUUAUAAAUCAAAAAGACCUUCCUCCCCCUGUGGAUACCAUGACUAGCAAUUAAUUAUAAAAGUACAUGGUCAUUGAAGACCGAGAACAGUUUUUGUAGUAAUAUAAACAAAGUAUCAUGUGAUAACAUGUAAAGUGUUUCACGUAUCAUUCUUGGCAUGCUAAUAUUAGUCGCACGCAGCGACCAAGCUCGGUACAAGGUACUGAUAUUGGCUGCAUACGAUUGCCGAAAUCCUGGUACUAGUGUUUGAUUGAAAGAGUUAAAGAAAUCAAAGUUUAAGUCACAAUGAAGACUUCAUCAGAGUUUAGAAGUCAAAAUUAUUAUAGAAAAUAAUUAAAGAAUAAUUACAAAGUUCUCUUGACUUCAAAAUUGGAUUUAAUCUCAUUUAUGAUU